GUGACUAAAUGUGUAUUUGCAAAGCAGCAUCUGAAGAAGCAAAAAUUCUUUAUAUGUAACCUGAUAUAUGUAAGGGACAAAUAGCAUUGAGGAAGUACUGAGGACUAUAUAAUAGCCUCUUCACUGAUUGUGAUUCUAAUGGUGACUUCUCUAAUGGACUGAUACAUAGGAGCAAGAGGUAAUCCAAGUGAAUAUAUACCACUGAAAUUAACAAGACAUUACCUCAUCCUCUUUGGGGUGGCAGAACUUCAUAUGCUACAGGACUUGAGCAGGAAUGAGCUCAUGCCGCUGAGAUCUGAGCUGCUGCCUCACAGGAGCCCCUGCAUGCCGAUGGAAAGGAAGAAGAGGAUCUGCAACCCAGGCUUGCUACUCUAUGGCCAUUCCAUGAGUAACUUCACAGCACAUUCCAUGUACUCAACCUCACAGGCACCUGCUUCCAUUAUGGUCCUGCCUAGCUGUUGGAGCUGGGAGCCCUGUAGACCCUUAACAUGGAAGGCAACCUGAACCUGGGAGAAUGCUUUUCCCCUUGUAGCUCUGCAUCACACACCUCUACCUCUAAAAUGGCAUCUGACUCAGAAGAUGAAGCCAGGAUGCUGCACACAGAAUGUAGAAUGUUCUUCGUGGAUAACAGCAGUGUGUGUUGAAAAACACUAAAACUAAGCUCAGGUGAUUAAAAAAGAAAAUAGAGCUUGAAGAUUAUUGGAAAUAUUAGUAUUUUCAUCUUGAAUGUCCAUGUAAGAGUUGCAAUGUUGUUAUAUGAUUUACAUUUCAUAUAUCUGUUCAGUAUGAUAGAGUCCAGGUCCCUGUAUAGAUUUUGAGUAGACUUUAUUCUGAAUGGCAGGUCAAAAGUGUGGUUGGUCCUGUAGAAGCCCAGUAUUUAUCCCUAGCUUAGGAGUGGACUUUGGGAGCCCAUUCUAUAUAGAGGAAUACUCCCUGAGCCAAGAAAAACAGGAGUGGGCCUAGGCCCUAUCCCAAAGGAUGCGAAAGACUCUGAUGACACCCUAUGGAAGGCCUCACCAUCCAGGGGGAGAGGAAAAGAUAUGUGAUAGAUAGGGUUUUAGUUGGGGGUGGGGGUUAGGGGUGGACGGGUGGGAGAAGGGAACAGGGAUUGUCAUGUAAAACAAUCCUGUUUUUAAUUCAAAUAAAGAAAAGCUGAAAAAAAACCA
rnacentral:lncRNA from 1 species